AAUGAACGCUGGCGGCAUGCCUAACACAUGCAAGUCGAACGAAGGCUUCGGCCUUAGUGGCGCACGGGUGCGUAACGCGUGGGAAUCUGCCCUUGGGUUCGGAAUAACUCAGAGACAUUUGAGCUAAUACCGGAUGAUGUCGAAAGACCAAAGAUUUAUCGCCCAAGGAUGAGCCCGCGUAGGAUUAGCUAGUUGGUGGGGUAAAGGCCCACCAAGGCGACGAUCCUUAGCUGGUCUGAGAGGAUGAUCAGCCACACUGGGACUGAGACACGGCCCAGACUCCUACGGGAGGCAGCAGUGGGGAAUAUUGGACAAUGGGCGAAAGCCUGAUCCAGCAAUGCCGCGUGAGUGAUGAAGGCCUUAGGGUUGUAAAGCUCUUUUACCCGGGAUGAUAAUGACAGUACCGGGAGAAUAAGCUCCGGCUAACUUCGUGCCAGCCGCCGCCGUAA
rnacentral:rRNA from 1 species